UAAAUCUUAAUCCUCUUUGCAAACCAAGUGAAGUUGCUUAUACCCUUAUACCUACCAUGGGUUAUUUCGAGUUCUUACCCGUAACUCGUGAAGAUGAAGGACCAGAAAAAGCUAACAUAAUUUCGAGUUCUUACCCGUAGCUCGUGAAGAUGAAGGACCAGAAAAAGCUAACAUAUAUGACAAAAGUGAUUUGGUAGAUCUUGUUAAUGUGGAACUUGGACAUGAAUACGAACUUGUGGUCACCACUUAUGCAGG
rnacentral:lncRNA from 1 species